UGUAAUCUCACACCUCAGCCUUUGUCCUGGAGGAAUGUGGACUUGGAUGUGCUGCUGCCGUGGCUCAUCUCAAAUACAUGAGUGUACCCUGCUUCCCCRUAGCGUAUUCGGUGUGAUAAGCAUUUUCACCGGAGAAGUGGUCCAUGGGCCCAUUGCGGAGGGGGGGGGCAUUUGGCUCUAUGCUUCGAACCGUCUUCGGACAGUGCUUGACAUUUUGACCUCAAAUCGGGUGGGACUACCCGCUGAACUUAAGCAUAUCAAUAAGCGGAGGAAAAGAAACUAACAAGGAUUCCCCUAGUAACGGCGAGUGAAGAGGGAUGAGCUCAAAUUUUGAAUCUGGUGCCUCCAGCACCCGAGUUGUAAACUAGAGAAGUGUUUUCUGUGUUGGACCAUGCACAAGUCCCCUGGAACGGGGUGUCAUGGAGGGUGAGAAUCCCGUAUAUGGCAUGGACUCCCUUCAYUUUGUGAUACACUCUCGACGAGUCGAGUUGUUUGGGAAUGCAGCUCAAAAUGGGUGGUAAAUUCCAUCUAAAGCUAAAUAUUGGCGAGAGACCGAUAGCGAACAAGUACCGCGAGGGAAAGAUGAAAAGCACUUUGGAAAGAGAGUGAAACAGUACGUGAAAUUGUUGAAAGGGACACGUUUGAAGUCAGUCACACUUGUGGGAACUCAGCCUGGCUUCUGCCUGGUGCACUUUCUUACAAGUGGGUC
rnacentral:rRNA from 1 species